UUCCUACGGGGGGCAGCAGUGGGGAAUAUUGCACAAUGGGGGAAACCCUGAUGCAGCGACGCCGCGUGAGUGAAGAAGUAUUUCGGUAUGUAAAGCUCUAUCAGCAGGGAAGAUAAUGACGGUACCUGACUAAGAAGCCCCGGCUAACUACGUGCCAGCAGCCGCGGUAAUACGUAGGGGGCAAGCGUUAUCCGGAUUUACUGGGUGUAAAGGGUGCGUAGGUGGCAGGGCAAGUCAGAUGUGAAAGCCCGGGGCUCAACCCCGGCCCGCCGUUGAAACUGGCAGUCUCGAGUUGGCGAGAAGUA
rnacentral:rRNA from 1 species